UACGUAGGGGGCUAGCGUUAUCCGGAAUUACUGGGCGUAAAGGGUGCGUAGGAGGUCUUUCAAGCCAGAAGUGAAAGGCUACGGCUCAACCGUAGUAAGCUUUUGGAACUGUAAGACUUGAGUGCAGGAGAGGAGAGUGGAAUUCCUAGUGUAGCGGUGAAAUGCGUAGAUAUUAGGAGGAACACCAGUAGCGAAGGCGGCUCUCUGGACUGUAACUGACGCUGAGGCACGAAAGCGUGGGGAGCAAACAGGAUUAGAUACCCGGGUAGUCCCUGAG
rnacentral:rRNA from 1 species